GACGAACGCUGGCGGCGUGCUUAACACAUGCAAGUCGAACGGAAAGGCCCUGCUUUUGUGGGGUGCUCGAGUGGCGAACGGGUGAGUAACACGUGAGUAACCUGCCCUUGACUUUGGGAUAACUUCAGGAAACUGGGGCUAAUACCGGAUAGGAGCUCCUGCUGCAUGGUGGGGGUUGGAAAGUUUCGGCGGUUGGGGAUGGACUCGCGGCUUAUCAGCUUGUUGGUGGGGUAGUGGCUUACCAAGGCUUUGACGGGUAGCCGGCCUGAGAGGGUGACCGGACACAUUGGGACUGGGAUACGGCCCAGAAUCCUACGGGAAGCAGCAGUAGGGAAUAGUGCACAAUGGGCGGAAGCCUGAUGCAGCAACGCCGCGUGAGGGAUAACGGCCUUCGGGUUGUAAACCGCUUUCGCAUGUGACGAAGCGUGAGUGGCGGUAAUGGGUAAAGAAGCACCGGCUAACUACGUG
rnacentral:rRNA from 1 species